CGUCAGUUGUGAUAAUGUUGGCGGUUCAAUAGUAAAAAAUAGGAGGUUUUUUUUCAAUUUCCGAGUUUGGAGUUUGGACGCCAACUCUUUCUUUCCCCAAGUCUUUCUUCCCGUAGACCACCAACUAUUUAUUUCUUCCCUCUCGCUCAUCUCUCCCUCUCUCUUUCUCGUGAACACCAAAUCUUGAACCCAAAUCCAACCACCAUGCGAAACGACGGGUCGCCAUGCGACUCUCGAAGCCGACGCGAAUCAAGUCCCAAAAUCAAGGAACUGUUAUACCUUAAGGAGGGAACACUUAUAGAAGGAACUGUCAGGAAAAACUAACAGAAGUGUAUAGAUGUCUCAGUUGAUCACUCGUCGUCGGAGUGUGACCAAUGCGCCUCCCGCAUUAUUAGCAUCUAUUGCUCUAGCCGUGAGUGCUCCAUUGAUUGGGGAGCCUACACCCCUUACUGAGGCUACUCCUACGGCGUCCCAGGUGCCUGUCUCAUCAACGUCAUCAGUGUCGGUUCAACCGUUCAAUGCACGGCGGCCUCACUGGUGCCCUCGCGAGCCGGAGCCUUCUGAUCAAACUUCCUCGGCAUCCAGAGUCGAGGGUGAGCCCUCCCAGCCAUGUAGUUUUUUUCUAAUUCUCAUUAAAAAAAACACCAGGGGCCUAGUUGAAUGCUGAAGCAGGCACAGAACGCACAUCAGGCCGCCUCCAAGAUCAAGAUUGUGUAUGACUCGCAAUAUCGUGGAACGGCUACCUCACAGGAGCAUAGCAGCGUCGCUAGUAGCUGUGGUGUUGUUAUUCGACAAAAUUGUCCUUUUCAAUGGGAGUCUUGGGCAGAAAUUCCCGAGGAGAUGAAGAAACUGGUCAUUUAUGAUCUUCAGGACAUAUCCCCCGAGACCAUGGCCUACUUAGAGGAGAUCUUAGCAACCCGGUACAAACAUUGGAAGAACAAUUUUCACACGUAUUUUAAGUGAUGGGAUGAUCCGGAGAUUGCUCGCCUACAUGUUCCAAGCGAGUUGCAGGAUCGGUCGGAGGAUUGGGAGUGACUUUGCAAACAUUUUACGGACCCAAAAUUUGUGACGAAAUCUAUUGCUGGCAAGAAAGCUUGGGAGUCAAAGAAACUUCUCCACCAUUCCGGUUCUAAGCCCUUUUCGUAUAGGCUUAAGGCACGACGUUAGGAGGGUUCUAAGUUCCCAAAGAGCGACAUGUUCAAGGACGUUUACGUUCGACCUGGUAAUGAGACCACUGAGCAGCUUCAUUUGCUAUGGUGGAAAAAAGCACUGCUGUUCUCCAAGAAGCAACAUUGCAGCUUCCCCUGGAGACCCCGAUUGAGGACGUCACGGUACCCGAGGAUGUAGGUUUCAAAUCAUGACUAAUGUCCUGGAUCAUAACUUUGGUUGUCGUCAUGGCAAGGUUGUUCCAUGUAUGGGGAAAGUGCGGGUUCGUGAGACGGGUGCCUCUUCUUCCAGAUCGAACACAGCAGAAGUUGAUGCAUUGAAGGAGGAAGUGACAACCCUAAAAGGUCAGUUUGCAGCCCAGGGCGAGGAGAUGAGGGCCUAUGCCGGGAUGGUGAGAGACCUUGUACGAGCCAUACAGAUGUCCGGCCUCCAAAUCUCGCUACCAGCAAUUCAUCUUGCUCCACAUUCGAUCUCAGAGCCAUCUCGCCCUACUGAUACCCAGUAGCCUAAUGUAUCAAACCUAGAAGACUACUUGUAGUUUUUUCUUUUUUGUUCGGACAUCUUGUAUGUACAUUUUCAUAUAUUUUAUAAUUAAAUAUUUUUGCUUGGUUAAUUAA